UACGUAGGGGCGAGCGUUACCCGGAAUCACUGGGCGUAAAGGGAGCGUAGGUGGCCUAACAUGUCAACUGUGAAAACCCGGAGCUCAACUCCGGACUUGCAGUUGAAACUGGUAGGCUUGAGGACGGUAGAGGAAGACGGAACUGCCAGUGUAGGGGUAAAAUCCUUAGAUAUUGGCAGGAACGCCGGUGACGAAGGUGGUUUUCUGGGCCGGUUCUGACACUGAUGCUCGAAAGCCAGGGGAGCGAACGGGAUUAGAUACCCGCGUAGUCCCUGAGCGGGCUGGCAAGG
rnacentral:rRNA from 1 species